GACGAACGCUGGCGGCGUGCUUAACACAUGCAAGUCGAACGAUGAAGCCGGAGCUUGCUCCGGUGGAUUAGUGGCGAACGGGUGAGUAACACGUGAGCAAUCUGCCCUUGACUCUGGGAUAACUGCGGGAAACUGUAGCUAAUACCGGAUACGACACCUUGGGGCAUCCCAGGGUGUGGAAAGAAUUUCGGUCAAGGAUGAGCUCGCGGCCUAUCAGCUAGUUGGUGAGGUAAUGGCUCACCAAGGCGACGACGGGUAGCCGGCCUGAGAGGGUGACCGGCCACACGGGAACCGGGACACGGUCCAGACUCCUACGGGAGGCAGCAGUGGGGAAUAUUGCACAAUGGGCGAAAGCCUGAUGCAGCAACGCCGCGUGAGGGAUGAAGGCCUUCGGGUUGUAAACCUCUUUUAGCAGGGAAGAAGCGAAAGUGACGGUACCUGCAGAAAAAGCACCGGCUAACUACGUGCCAGCCGCCGCGGUAA
rnacentral:rRNA from 1 species